CAGCAGUCGAGAAUCAUUCACAAUGGAGGAAACCCUGAAGGUGCGACGCCGCGUGGGAAAAUGAUGGUCUUCGGCUUGUGGGCCCCUGUCUUGUGGGGGCGGGUUGUNGNGGUUGUUCCUCGUGUGGGGGUGCCGGCUUNCUCUGUGCCCGCCGCCGCGGUUUUCCCGUGGUCUCCGGCGUUGUUCGGUUUCUCUGGGCGUUNNGCGUGCGUCGGCGGUUUCGUCNGUCGUGUGUGGNNGGCGGGGGCUCCUCCCCCGGUCUGCUCUUGGUNCUGCGCGUCUGGGGUGCUGGUGGGGGUGCCGGGNUUCUCGGUGUUGCUGUGNNNUGCGUUGNUUUCGGGAGGGCCUCUCGUGGCGCCGGCGGGUUCCUGGGCUUUNUCUGNCGCUGUGGCUCGUUGGCCUGGGGCGCCCUACAAGAGUCGCUCCCCCUGUNGUCCUGGCUGUUUUCGCCCCCCCAGGGGGUGCGGGGAAUCGACCCCCUGCGUGCCGGAGCUAACGCAUUAAGCGUGCCGCCUGGGGAGUACGGUCGCCAAGAUUAAAAACUCAAAGAAAUUGACGGGGACCCGCACAAGCGGGUGGAGUAUGUGGCUUAAUUCGAUGCAACGCGAAGAACCUUACCUGGGCUUGACAUGUAAUGAACAACAUGUGAAAGCAUGCGACUCUUCGGAGGCGUUACACAGGUGCUGCAUGGCCGUCGUCAGCUCGUGUCGUGAGAUGUUUGGUUAAGUCCAGCAACGAGCGCAACCCCUGUUGCCAGUUACCAGCACGUAAAGGUGGGGACUCUGGCGAGACUGCCCAGAUCAACUGGGAGGAAGGUGGGGACGACGUCAGGUCAGUAUGGCCCUUAUGCCCAGGGCUGCACACGUACUACAAUGCCCAGUACAGAGGGGGCCGAAGCCGCGAGGCGGAGGAAAUCCUAAAA
rnacentral:rRNA from 1 species